UCUAUGGUGGCUGCAGUGGGGAAUAUUGGACAAUGGGCGAAAGCCUGAUCCAGCCAUGCCGCGUGUGUGAAGAAGGCCUUCGGGUUGUAAAGCACUUUCAGUGGGGAAGAAAGCCUUGGGGCUAAUACCCUCGAGGAAGGACAUCACCCACAGAAGAAGCACCGGCUAACUCCGUGCCAGCAGCCGCGGUAAUACGGAGGGUGCGAGCGUUAAUCGGAAUUACUGGGCGUAAAGCGCGCGUAGGCGGUCUGAUAAGCCGGUUGUGAAAGCCCCGGGCUCAACCUGGGAACGGCAUCCGGAACUGUCAGGCUAGAGUGCAGGAGAGGAAGGUAGAAUUCCCGGUGUAGCGGUGAAAUGCGUAGAGAUCGGGAGGAAUACCAGUGGCGAAGGCGGCCUUCUGGACUGACACUGACGCUGAGGUGCGAAAGCGUGGGUAGCAAACAGGAUUAGAUACCCUAGUAGUC
rnacentral:rRNA from 1 species